AGUGCUGAGUCUUAACCAGUAAACCACCAGGGAAGUCCCACAAUUAAGGGAUGCAUAUACUAAAAUGAAGUAGAAAAUUUAAUAGUGCAAUGCUAGAAAUGACUACACAGGACAUAUAAUUUCAUAAAUCUGAAUGAUACACAAAUGCCAAGUGAUCCUCAGUGAUCCCCAAAUGGUCAGAACAUCAGACAUAUUAACAUUCUGUAUUUUCAUAAUUGUUAUCAAUGAGAAUAUUUUAUAUUAUAGUUCUCAAUUUAAAGCCAAAAAUUCAUUUAAAUAGUUCUGCAGUAAUGUGGGCACUGCAAGGUUAAACACAUUGUAGUAAUAAAGUUCUUAAUAAUCAAGCUUAAAUUUACAUAUGCAAUUUUUUGGUUCAGCUGUAAUAGUUACUUGAUACUUUAUACUAUCUUCCCUAAGCAUUGAUUUAAAACUACAUAUCAUGUGAUUAAUUCAUGGUAUUAUUUCUUUAAUUUAAACAAUGAUUAAGCAACAGUUGAGGUCUAUCCCGAUGGGGCUUUUUCUGUAAACCUACGUCGUUGGAAACGCCUCAUAGAGUAACCAUGUAGUUUCCUUUACUCAUAGAACUACCUGUUAGAUCUGUGGGAAAGAACUACAAGACAGAGCUGCCAAUUAAACUAUGAAAAACCUAACAAUUUUUUUUUAUCUUAGGUAUUGGCAUAUCCCAAUGAUCUCUGUCAAGUUUUAGGGUGUGAUAACUUGGGAAUUAAUAUUAUUUGAACUUUAAGCUUUUAGAGAACUAGACAUCCCAUCUCCUGACCCUAAACAGGUAUUUCGCUUUUCACUUUCUGCAGUUUUCCUUUACUGAUAGCAUGCUUAGCAAAACAGUGGAACUUCUAUACAGGUGCUACUGCUGCAGUCAUGUCUGACUGUGCGACCCCAUAGACGGCAGCCCACCAGGCUCCCCCAUCCCUGGGAUUCUCCA